AUUGAACGCUGGCGGAAUGCUUUACACAUGCAAGUCGAACGGUAACAGCACUUCGGUGGCUGACGAGUGGCGAACGGGUGAGUAAUGUAUCGGAACGUGCCUAGUAAUGGGGGAUAACCACUCGAAAGAGUGACUAAUACCGCAUAAUAUCUCAGGAUGAAAGCGGGGGACCGUAAGGCCUCGCGUUAUUAGAGCGGCCGAUAUCAGAUUAGGUAGUUGGUGGGAUAAAAGCCUACCAAGCCAACGAUCUGUAGCUGGUCUGAGAGGACGACCAGCCACACUGGGACUGAGACACGGCCCAGACUCCUACGGGAGGCAGCAGUGGGGAAUUUUGGACAAUGGGCGAAAGCCUGAUCCAGCAAUACCGCGUGCAGGACGAAGGCCUUCGGGUUGUAAACUGCUUUUGUACGGAACGAAACGGUUCAGAUUAAUACUCUGAACUAAUGACGGUACCGUAAGAAUAAGCACCGGCUAACUACGUG
rnacentral:rRNA from 1 species